GAUGAACGCUGGCGGCGUGCCUAAUACAUGCAAGUCGAACGAACGGACGAGAAGCUUGCUUCUCUGAUGUUAGCGGCGGACGGGUGAGUAACACGUGGAUAACCUACCUAUAAGACUGGGAUAACUUCGGGAAACCGGAGCUAAUACCGGAUAAUAUUUUGAACCGCAUGGUUCAAAAGUGAAAGACGGUCUUGCUGUCACUUAUAGAUGGAUCCGCGCCGCAUUAGCUAGUUGGUAAGGUAACGGCUUACCAAGGCAACGAUGCAUAGCCGACCUGAGAGGGUGAUCGGCCACACUGGAACGGAGACACGGUCCAGACUCCUACGGGAGGCAGCAGUAGGGAAUCUUACGCAAUGGGCGAAAGCCUGACGGAGCAACGCCGCGUGAGUGAUGAAGGUCUUCGGAUCGUAAAACUCUGUUAUUAGGGAAGAACAUAUGUGUAAGUAACUGUGCACAUCUUGACGGUACCUAAUCAGAAAGCAACGGCUAACUACGUG
rnacentral:rRNA from 1 species